rnacentral:snoRNA from 1 species
CCCUUCUCUGCGUCACACCUGGAGAGUUUCCAGUACAUUACCAGUCUCUACUACCAGAGGGAGAGUCAAGCAGAGGCUUAUCCAUUCCAUUCCUAGCUUGGCCAGUGGCUAGUGAGUGGAAGGCAAUCUGCUACAAGU